rnacentral:pre_miRNA from 1 species
CACACACCCAUGUGUGUAGGACCCGAAAGGAUCAUCAUUAAAUUUGGCACAGAUCUCUAGAAAAGUUAUCUCAUGAAUGUGAGACUUGAUUUUUCUAGAGAUUUGUACCAAAUUUAAUGGUGAUCCUUUGGGGUCUUAUACAUAUGGGUGUGGG